rnacentral:lncRNA from 1 species
AAGGCUCACCAAGAUGCCAAACCGUGGCUGGCUACAGCUUCAGCACAUCUCGUAACAAUGCAGGCCAUGACAUGCCAGUGUGAUGGAGCGUGGUGAUGUGCUGACUGGGAUCUGCAACCUGUGCCCUGCGUCCACAUGGGGUAUGAGGAAUGUCAAGCAGUGCCCACUGUGCACCCAGAUGUAUUCAUGCUCUCAGCCAGCAGCCCUUCAAGGGCAGCCUGUGCCAUGUUCAGCAGAGGGUUUAGCUGCCUGCCCUGGUCCCAGGACAACAGCCUUCAAAUGGGAACUUACCUUAAUGAAAUUCUGCACAGUAACUGGAUGAACAGACUGGAUCAGAACUCAUUGCUGUGCUGGUGGUGCACAACGGCAGUGGCUCUUCAUGUGGCCCAGCAGCCACAUGCUACCCCACCAAAAUGCAAAUACCAUCUCAAAAACAGCUCUGGACUGCCCACAUGCAGCAGCUCCAGAAGCACGGCAGGAGGAUUCAGACUCCCAGAAUAA